rnacentral:rRNA from 1 species
UGCCAGCCGCCGCGGUAAGACAGAGGGUGCAAGCGUUGUUCGGAAUCAUUGGGCGUAAAGCGCGCGUAGGCGGUUUGGUAAGUCGGAUGUGAAAGCCCGGGGCUCAACCCCGGAAGUGCAUCCGAAACUGCUCGACUUGAGUCUCGGAGAGGGUGGUGGAAUUCCUGGUGUAGAGGUGAAAUUCGUAGAUAUCAGGAGGAACACCCGUGGCGAAGGCGACCACCUGGACGAUGACUGACGCUGAGGCGCGAAAGCGUGGGGAGCAAACAGGAUUAGAUA